GACGAACCGUGCGAACGUUGUUCGGAUUCACUGGGCUUAAAGGGCGCGUAGGCGGGCCAUCAAGUCGGGGGUGAAAUCUUUCAGCUUAACUGGAAAAUAGCCUUCGAUACUGGUGGUCUGGAGGAAGGUAGGGGCAUGCGGAACUUCCGGUGGAGCGGUGAAAUGCGUAGAUAUCGGAAGGAACGCCGGUGGCGAAAGCGGCGUGCUGGACCUUUUCUGACGCUGAGGCGCGAAAGCCAGGGGAGCAAACAGG
rnacentral:rRNA from 1 species